GCAGGAGUAGCUCAACUGGUAGAGCGCUAGCCUUCCAAGCUGGAUGUCGCGAGUUCGAACCUCGUCUCCUGCUCCA
rnacentral:tRNA from 1 species